GCCGGAGUGGUGAAAUGGCAGACGCGGCGGAUUCAAAAUCCGUUGGUAGCGAUACCGUGCGGGUUCAAGUCCCGCCUUCGGCA
rnacentral:tRNA from 1 species